GGGCUGGGGCUCAAUGGUAGAGUGCUCGCCUAGCAUGCAUGAGGUACUGGAUUCGAUCCUCAGCAGUACA
rnacentral:tRNA from 1 species